CUGGGCGUAAAGCGCGCGUAGGCGGAUAAUUAAGUCAGAUGUGAAAUCCCUGGGCUCAACCUAGGAACUGCAUUUGAUACUGGUUAUCUAGAGUAUGGUAGAGGUGAGUGGAAUUUCAGGUGUAGCGGUGAAAUGCGUAGAGAUCUGAAGGAACAUCAGUGGCGAAGGCGACUCACUGGGCCAUUACUGACGCUGAGGUGCGAAAGCGUGGGUAGCAAACAGGAUUAGAUACCCUGGUAGUCCACGCCCUAAACGAUGUCAACUAGGUGUGUGAGAGUCUAACUCUUUGCGUAUCGAAGCUAACGCGAUAAGUUGACCGCCUGGGGAGUACGGUCGCAAGACUAAAACUCAAAUGAAUUGACGGGGGCCCGCACAAGCGGUGGAGCAUGUGGUUUAAUUCGAUGCAACGCGAAGAACCUUACCUGGCCUUGACAUGUAGUGAACUUACC
rnacentral:rRNA from 1 species